CGUCGCCGCCGCGGCUCCCGAAAAUGUGUUGUUAAUGGGACUUGGCCGGGACUUGUAUCCUCGGCUUUGCAAACUUGCCCUUUUCCCAGCCGCUUUGCAGGAGGCUGCGGAGACGAAGAUGAGCGGAAAGUUGGAAACCAGCAGGCAUCACAGGACGGUCCCUUUGGCCUCGUAGCUGUGCUGAGCCUGGGAGGCGGAGGAGGAGGUGGAGGCGGCGGCGGAGGAGGCCAGGUUUGCUGUCAGCUAAAGGAUGCACCUGAAGAUUGUGCUUCAGGGGAAAAUGCAAGAAACCAAGAUUCUGGGGCACAUCAGCUAUCUCAACUAAUGUCCAUUUGAAGGGGGAAAACACCACUGUUUGUUGGCACUGAAGAAAGGGUAUUCCUGUGAUCUCCCCCAAACCACCCCUCCUCAAAAAGAGGCCAUUGUAAAGCCUCUAUCAGUGUCUCCAAGAGAACAUUCUCCAGGGGCAUUGCGCCCUCCGCCCUCUCCUCCUCGGAUCUGGAGAGAAGGAAUC
rnacentral:lncRNA from 1 species